rnacentral:rRNA from 1 species
GACGAACCGUGCGAACGUUGUUCGGAUUCACUGGGCUUAAAGGGCGCGUAGGCGGGCCAUCAAGUCAGGGGUGAAAUCUUCGGCUCAACCGGAAAAGUGCCUUUGAUACUGGUGGUCUCGAGGGAGGUAGGGGCAUGCGGAACUUCCGGUGGAGCGGUGAAAUGCGUAGAUAUCAGAAGGAACACCGGUGGCGAAGGCGACAUCCUGGACCGGUA